rnacentral:lncRNA from 1 species
GAACAGAGUUCCUGCUGACUCUACAUUAUAUAUUUGUUUGGUAUACUUGUUACAAUUAGUGAAAUUAUACCGAUACAUUAAUAUUAACUACAAUCAAUGCUUUCGUCAGACUACCUUGGCUUUUAUCUGCUGUUCUUUUUUUCUGUUUUAAUACCGCCUUCAAAAUACAACAUUGUAUUAAUAAUAACAGCUCCUUAUUCUCCUCGUUGUGAUAGCUUCUUGGAGUUCUUUGUUCUCAAGGACCUUGGAGUAUGUUUUUCAGUUGGGGUGUAUUUUAUAUUCUUCUCAUGAAAAUUUUCUCAUUAAAAAAAAAAAAAACGAGGUCAAUGAAAGCUAGGCAUGGUGGCAAACACUUUCCUUUUAAUCCCAGCACUUGGGAGGCAAAGGCAAGUGGAUCUCUGGUCUACAGAGUGAGUUCCAGGACAGCCAGGGCUACACAGAGGAAAACCCUGUCUCAGAAAACUAAACUAAACUAAACUAAACUAAACUAAACUAAACCCUACCUUAAUGAACCCAAUGGAUUUGGGUCCAAACAACCACACAAGUGAGUUACUAUUUUCAUAACAUCAUCUUUCUAUGACUUAUCAUUCUUCAUAUUAUCCUUAGUCACAUGACUAAGAUAGUGUCUGAGAUUUCUCCCCUAUACCCUUUUUCCUAUCAUCAUACUGCAGUCUUUGGAGGGAACUUACUGUGCUCAGCCCACAUAUACAGAAAUGGUGAGUUAGGUACUAUGUCCUUGAGAGCAAGUGUUCAAAUAUUUUGGAAUUUUUCUGCAUUGGGAGCUUUGCCUCCUCUCUUAUUUAUUUACUUAUAUGUUUAUUUUUGUCAACAUGGACUCAUUGAUAUUUAUUUUAUAGAUUAUCUUAUAAUUCAAUGCAACUUUUAUUUUGUUGCUCAAAUUGUAACUUUAACUGUUAGGAGCUUUUUUUUGAAUUGAUCAUGAAGUCUUGUUUGCAUACCCCCAUUAUUGUUUUUUGUUUUCAGUAAGUGAGUAAUUUUUGGUGUUGCAAGAUGUUCCAGACACAUCUUGCUUUUGUUUUAUGGAGGACAAUUCUAUAAUCAGGCAUUUUGUCAAUAAGUUGUAAUCCCUUUUACUGAAGAAUUAUAACCAAGGUGUAGGUACUAUAUAUGUUUGCUACUUUGCAGAUAUUUCUUCAAGUUCUCAGUCACUAGAACAAAGAAAUACAUGCAUAUAUUAAGUUUUAUAUAUACAAAUGCUUGUCUUCCAUAUAUAAUCAUCUUUAUGAUGAUUUAUAUAAGUUUAUAUCAUUGUCUUCAGUCCUUAGUUAUCUGCAUAUCUUUCCAUUCUAUCUGGAAGAACAAUAGCUCAUCUUCUGCCAUUUAUUAUUUUUUAAAAUCCAUAUUAAUACUAAUGAAAUACAUAUUAACAGUGUCUUAUGUGUUAUCCUGUAGUAUACCCAUGAGAAAAGUCAACUAGAACCUGGUGCUUAUGUACACGAUAGUAACAUUUUUAGAACUUCAACUCUUUGAAACAAAAUGAUCUACAAGAUUCUUGAAUUAGAGAUAAUCUGUAUUCUCAAUUCUAUCCUAGUCCCCAAAUGCUUUCUCAUACAUGAAACAAACCAUCAGUGAUUGACCUAGCCUUGAAUAAGCCAAGGGAGCAUGUUGAUCCUCUGUAGUAUGUUAAUUCCUAUAGAAGGGAUCAAAGAGAAAGCAGCUGCAUGGGUCUAAUUUGAAGAAACACUUAGCACUGUCCUUUUCUCUACUGAAAAUGGAUCUCUGACAACUGGGCAGUACCCUGAUUUGCCUCUCUUCUGUAUUUUCCCCAGUUUUUAGGCAAGUCACAUCACCUCUCUGUGCCUCUAUUAACCCAUCUCGAAAUGGGGAUCCACAUAUCUACCUCACAGGAGUGUUGUGAGGCUUCUUAUUGUUUUAAAAAAAGUGUAAUCUCUAAACGAGUAAGAAAGUAUUAUAAUCAUUACUAUGAUGAUAAUUAGAGUACCCUAUAUGUAUCCUAUGGAAAAGGAGAUUAGCCUCAUUGUUAGUAAACAGCUAAAAUUAAGUCAAUAAAAGAUCAAUGAAGCGUGGCCACUGGAAGCAAGAUUAUUUAUUCUGUUACCCUCACUUUCCCUAUAUCCUCUAAGUAUAGGACUAUCAAGUGUUUCCAGACUCGAAACAUACGAGGACCCAAAACAGUAGGAGGCAAAGUAGAUUGUCAUUUUCAAAUUGUGUUUCUUCUCCCUUUCUUACUCUGGUUGGACUGCAUUACAUAGAACUUUGUCAGAAGCACAAAGACAAUUUCUCAAAGGGUUUCAGUCUUUGAUCAGUUCUGUUCCAUCAAUUAAGAUUUCUCUUUCUGCGUGUACUGUACAUUGAACAGUCAAGGUAGGAGGGGAGUGGGUGGGUUGGUUGGGUUGGGCAUGGACUGGGAGAGAAGGGAAAUUACAGAUGUGUUUUCCAAACACCUGUUAUCACUUUCCAUUUCUUUUUUUUCUGGUGGUGGGUGUGGGGCAAGGGAAGAGAUACUAUUUUGUUAACAAAUUCUCCUUCCCUUCCAGUAGAUGUUUCCUAGGGUCAGUACAAAUAGCUGUGUUGGACCUUACUUUUAUAACUAUGUUGUAUACAGUGUUGUUUUCAUUGUAUUUUCGAAUAAAGGGGGAAGAAAGUCCCUAGUGCUGGCCAUCCCUGUUUUUGACAGGAGGUCACAACAGGAGAGCAGCAGCAGAAGCUGACUCUGUGGUGGGGAAAGGAGCCUGCAAUGAAGGGAUUUAUUGGAUUUUUGUCAUUCUUUAAAGAAAUUAUAAAGCAGUAUAUUACACAUUAGUCUCUAUGACUCUUCUGUUUGAGCCUCCUCAUUUUAGUGCUUUAGAGCAGCACCUAUUUUCACUCCAUUUUAUACUUGUUCCUGUUGAAGUAUGGUGUUGAGCAAUCUCUCAUAGACAAGUCUGUGGUGUACCUAUAGAGAAUUGCCUCAGUAAGCGUGGCUACCCAGAGGUUACUCUGACGUAGCUCAGUGGGGCGCUCCCAUUGUAGCUUCCAGGCCAGGCUGUGUGCUUGAGUACUAAGCAGUCAUGUUCUGUCUGAUUACUGUACUUUUUUAAUAAUAAAAAUAUUUUAAACC